UACAGAGGUCUCAAGCGUUGUUCGGAUUCAUUGGGCGUAAAGGGUGUGUAGGUGGCGCGCUAAGUCGGGUGUGAAAUUUCGGAGCUUAACUCCGAAACUGCAUUCGAUACUGGCGUGCUUGAGGACUGGAGAGGAGACUGGAAUUUAGGUGUAGCAGUGAAAUGCGUAGAGAUCAUGAGGAAGACCAGUGGCGAAGGCGGGUCUCUGGACAGCUCCUGACACUGAGGCACGAAGGCCAGGGGAGCAAACGGG
rnacentral:rRNA from 1 species